GAUGAACGCUGGCGGCGUGCCUAAUACAUGCAAGUCGAGCGAACAGACGAGGAGCUUGCUCCUCUGACGUUAGCGGCGGACGGGUGAGUAACACGUGGAUAACCUACCUAUAAGACUGGGAUAACUUCGGGAAACCGGAGCUAAUACCGGAUCAUAUAUUGAACCGCAUGGUUCAAUAGUGAAAGACGGGUUUGCUGUCACUUAUAGAUGGAUCCGCGCCGCAUUAGCUAGUUGGUAAGGUAACGGCUUACCAAGGCCACGAUCCGUAGCCGACCUGAGAGGGUGAUCGGCCACACUGGACCUGAGACACGGUCCAGACUCCUACGGGAGGCAGCAGUAGGGAAUCUUCCGCAAUGGGCGAAAGCCUGACGGAGCAACGCCGCGUGAGUGAUGAAGGUCUUCGGAUCGUAAAACUCUGUUAUUAGGGAAGAACAAAUGUGUAAGUAACUAUGCACGUCUUGACGGUACCUAAUCAGAAAGCCACGGCUAACUACGUG
rnacentral:rRNA from 1 species